rnacentral:rRNA from 1 species
GACGAACGCUGGCGGCGUGCUUAACACAUGCAAGUCGAACGGAAAGGCCCUUCGGGGUACUCGAGUGGCGAACGGGUGAGUAACACGUGGGUGAUCUGCCCUGCACUUUGGGAUAAGCCUGGGAAACUGGGUCUAAUACCGAAUAGGACCACGCGCUUCAUGGUGUGUGGUGGAAAGCUUUUGCGGUGUGGGAUGGGCCCGCGGCCUAUCAGCUUGUUGGUGGGGUAAUGGCCUACCAAGGCGACGACGGGUAGCCGGCCUGAGAGGGUGACCGGCCACAAGGGGAGUGAAAUACGCCCCGGACGCCUGCGGGGGGAAGCGGGGGGGAAUGUUGCACAAGGGGCGCAAGCCUGUGGCAGCGCCGCCGGGGGGGGGAGGCCGGCCUGGGGGUUGAAAACCUCUUUCAAGAGGGACGAGGCGAAAGGGAGGGUACCUAAAGAAGAAGCACCGGCCAACUACGUG